CAAAAACAAGUUUUCUAAAAAUGAAGUUGAGCGGUGUUACGUUGUUCUUAAUUCUUUUAUCGCUUUUCUUGAUUACAUCAGAAGGAAGAAAACUUCAAAGUUCUCCACAACCUGUAAUUAACGACCCGUCGGGACCCAUGAAUAAAACAAUAGAAGAAAACCAUAGAUACCUCUUGCAGUCGGGCGGUUGUUGGCAGUGUUGGGAGGACGAGCAUGGCCCCCCUCCCAAAUGACCACAUGGUUGAGUUGAUCCAAUGUAUGUAGAUAUUAUUAGGAGGAUACAUGGUUCUUUUUCAAGUUCUUUCUUUCAUUUUUUCAUUUUUUUUACGAAUUAUCCUUCAACAUGGUCAUCAAUAGCACCUAUGCUAAUACGAAUAAAAGGUUAAUAUUGUUAUUCAUGUUGUAUGCAAUAAUAUCAUGAAUUUUAAUAAUAUUUUAUGGAAA